UGAGGAAUCUUGCGCAAUGGGGAAAACCCUGACGCAGCAACGCCGCGUGAGUGAGGAAGGUCUUCGGGUCGUAAAGCUCUGUCAGGCGGGAAGAAAUGCAUGGAGGUGAACAGCCGCCAUGCUUGACGGUACCACCAGAGGAAACACCGGCUAACUCCGUGCCAGCAGCCGCGGUAAUACGGGGGGUGCAAGCGUUGUUCGGAAUCAUUGGGCGUAAAGAGCGUGUAGGCGGCUUGGUAAGUCAGAUGUGAAAGCCCUGGGCUCAACCCGGGAAGUGCAUUUGAAACUGCCAGGCUCGAGUAGGGGAGAGGGAAGUGGAAUUCCUGGUGUAGAGGUGAAAUUCGUAGAUAUCAGGAGGAACACCGGUGGCGAAGGCGACUUCCUGGCCCUAUACUGACGCUGAGACGCGAGAGCGUGGGUAGCAAACAG
rnacentral:rRNA from 1 species